rnacentral:snRNA from 1 species
GUGUUCACUUUGGCAGCACAUAUACAAAAAUUGGAACUAUACAGAGAAGAUUAGCAUGGCCCCUAUGCAGGAUGACAUGCAAAUUUGUGAAGCAUUCCACAUUUUU